rnacentral:rRNA from 1 species
CCUACGGGUAGCAGCAGUCGAGAAUCAUUCACAAUGGGGGAAACCCUGAUGGUGCGACGCCGCGUGGGGGAAUGAAGGUCUUCGGAUUGUAAACCCCUGUCAUGUGGGAGCAAAUUAAAAAGAUAGUACCACAAGAGGAAGAGACGGCUAACUCUGUGCCAGCAGCCGCGGUAUUACAGAGGUCACAAGAGUUGUUCGAAUUCAUGGGUCGUAAAGCGGGCGUAGGAUGUUUCGUAAGCCGUGUGUGAAAGGCGCGGGCGCAACCCGCGUACGGCACAGGAUAUUGCGAGACUAGAGUAUUGGAGGGGGAACCGGAAUUCUCGGUGUAGAAGUGAAAUGCGUAGAUAUCGAGAGGAACACUCGUGGCGAAGGCGGGUUCCUGGACAUUAACUGACGCUGAGGCACGAAGGCCAGGGGAGCGAAAGGGAUUAGAUACCCGAGUAGUC